GUCGACUUCAUCAAUGGUUUUUUUAGCGCAACAUCUUUGUUUGUAGCUGCAAAACUGUCUCGGAUGCUGUUUUUUUCCACCUCUGCAGAAGCUGGUUCUGUUUCUGGUUUGUGCGCUUUCUGCUACUGUUUUUGCUAAGGUUUUUCUUGGCUGCGCCGGGGUUUCGGCAUGUUUCCAGCAAGGCUUCUGAUUCAGCUUCGCUUCUGCUAUAUCUGCUUCUGUUUCAGC
rnacentral:lncRNA from 1 species